CGGGGAGGUAGUGACGAAAAAUAACGAUACGGGACUCAUCCGAGGCCCCGUAAUCGGAAUGAGUACACUUUAAAUCCUUUAACCAGGAUCCAUUGGAGGGCAAGUCUGGUGCCAGCAGCCGCGGUAAUUCCAGCUCCAAUAGCGUAUAUUAAAGUUGUUGCGGUUAAAAAGCUCGUAGUUGAAUCUGUGUGCCACGCUGUCGGUUCACCGCUCGCGGUGUUUAACUGGCAUGAUUGUGGGACGUCCUACCGGUGGAUUUAGCUGUAUGAAAGUAUGGCGGUCCAACUAAUAUCCCAUCGCGGUGCUCUUCACCGAGUGUCGAGGUGGGCCGGUACGUUUACUUUGAACAAAUUAGAGUGCUUAAAGCAGGCUUAUUUCGCCUGAAUAUUGUGUGCAUGGAAUAAUGGAAUAGGACCUCGGUUCUAUUUUGUUGGUUUUCGGAACCCCGAGGUAAUGAUUAAUAGGGACAGAUGGGGGCAUUCGUAUUGCGACGUUAGAGGUGAAAUUCUUGGAUCGUCGCAAGACGAACAGAAGCGAAAGCAUUUGCCAAAAAUGUUUUCAUUAAUCAAGAACGAAAGUUAGAGGUUCGAAGGCGAUCAGAUACCGCCCUAGUUCUAACCAUAAACGAUGCCAGCUAGCGAUCCGCCGAAGUUCCUCCGAUGACUCGGCGGGCAGCUUCCGGGAAACCAAAGCUUUUGGGUUCCGGGGGAAGUAUGGUUGCAAAGCUGAAACUUAAAGGAAUUGACGGAAGGGCACCACCAGGAGUGGAGCCUGCGGCUUAAUUUGACUC
rnacentral:rRNA from 2 species